rnacentral:tRNA from 1 species
GGGCACGUGGUCUAGUGGUAUGAUUCUCGCUUAGGGUUAUCCGCAGAGGGUUUACUCUCUAAGGGUGCUAAUAUGCGGGAGGUCCCGGGUUCAAUUCCCGGCUUGCCCC